GGUAAGCCUAAACCCGGUGAAACAAGCAUAAUCUGAUACCGUUUAAUUGGCGGAGUGUUGAAUGGACGAACGAGCGCAGAACUGUCUCAAGGUGAUUAGGAUUUAAAUUGACAUGAUAGUGCAGAUGCUAUCUAAAAUGGCAGGACGAGAAGACCCUAUGAAGCUUUACUCUAAGUAUAUAUGAGUACUUGAUGGGCCAUACUAUACAAACAACCACUCUAUGUGUGUUAGUGAGUUUAGUCACUGGAACAUCUAGCGAGAUUAUAUCGAUAUAGGAUUAUAAAAUUUAUAGGUAAACCAAGUAUUCUUGGGUUGUAUAAUCUAAAGCAAUAGUAUAGAAAUGUCUGCUUGGGAGUUUGGGUGGGGUGCCCGCAGGUUAUAUAAGAACAUCGUGUAAUCAAUCGUUAUUUGAUUGACAGACUGAGUAGAGCACACGCUUACUCAGAGACAAAAGUCGGAAAGGUGACCCGAUGCGCUUAAGUGCGGCACAUGUAAAUAAAAUAUAGGUCGACAAUGGAUAAAAGCUACUCUAGGGAUAACAGG
rnacentral:rRNA from 1 species